UUGUUUGUUUGUUUGUUUUUUAAGUGAUCCCGAACCAGAAAGGAGGAGUCCUACACCUGUGCAGGAAGAAGCUGCUAUUGCGCCAGAGGAAAGUUUAACUCAGGAGACAGAGUUUGACCCUUCAGCCGUCAUCUUGCCUCCUCCUGACAUGUACGCAGACUCAGACUCUAUGCUGGAUUCGUCGCUGUACAGCGAGCCAAUCAGAAAUCUCCCACGUUGACCAGGAUCUUCCUACCGUGGCAAGCUGCAGCCAUGUGAUCCUUUGCCAAAAAUCUGCAUCUUCCUGACUUCAAUAUUUAUCUGAGAACUGCAAACAUGGAUCAAUACACUGAGGAGUGAAGGAACGUCUAAGCAAAUGGAUAUGUUUCUGCUGUUCCUUGACGACGUCUGUGUGAGGAUUCUUUACGAUGGACCUAGAUGAAGUCUCCUUUUCUCGAGAGAGGACAUAAAAGCAACAUUAAAAAACUUUACAGACCGACACAGACUGGACAAUACCAGAAAAGUACAACUAGUGGUGAAGUAAAGGAUUAAUUAAACUGCAGUUUUUCUACUUUCCUAUGCAAACUAAGGGAAGUCCUGCAAUCAACUUUUCUUCAGAUUAACCGUCAAUCCAAAGUUGGAUCGCAGCUCAGAUAACCCGACAAGAGCCUGAAUCUUUGUCCUCGUCUGCAUGAAGCGUCAAGAAGAGUAGGAUCAUUCUUAUCUAUUGAAGUCUCAGGGUUUGCUGCAAGGGACUGAAUAUUUGAAAUGAGCUAAGUCAUAAAUAACCACCUUCUGUUUUCUCCAACUGCACCAACACAAUUUAAUAGUUUCCACAGAAUUAUCCGGAACUGGUCAGUUUAAUUUCCAAGUGUUUGCGUCACUGUUUUUUUUUUUUUUGUUAACUUUACAGGGAUCUUUUUCUACUUUUUGUUAAAAUUUCAGAUCACCACUUUAGCUUGUUUAAGAGUAUGUAUCUAUUGUUGCUGUGAUAUUUAAAUGAUCUCUGAUGCAGAAAAGGAUAGUUUUUUGAAGAGAGAUUCAAUGAAGUUAUCAGUAACAUUUCCCUUACCCGUAGUAGGAAGAUGAACGUAGCGCUGGAAGGUUGCCUGUUUUAGAUUGCAAACAUUUGCUAAAUCUGGGCUAUUAGCUUCCACAUUUCCAUGGACUUAUUCACUACUCACUGCAAAAUGACAUCUUUCCAACAAAAGUGAAGGAGAAAUUGCUGAUAACUUCACUGCCAGGUUUACUGUCUUACAUUAUAUGAGAUCUAAGGACUGUGAUGUUUAAAUGUGUAACUUCAGAACGGCGUUGGCGUUUCCACAGGUCUAACUUUUGGACAAAAACAUCAACAUCCAGCUUUCUUGUCUAUAAUUUAACGGUUCUGCAGGUGUCCGUGCCUCUGAUGCGUCCUCAUAAACCAAAAUAAAAACUUAAAUGUGUGUGUAAAAGCUCGGCAGUGGAAAGACACUCGAUAACGACGUCGCUGUUUUUGCAUGUUUAUUUUUAUUUUAAUAAAUACUCCUUAAAGUGCAAGUCAUAACAGUAAUAUCAUGCAGUGCAUAACAAGGUCCAAACCCCAAUCUUAGACACAAAGAUGGAGAAAGACAAGCACACACACACACACGCACACACACACAGACAGAGGAAAACACCUUUGUACAAGAUAACAGUAAGUAAUGUGCACACACACACACACACACACACUAACAACAUAGACGGGGUUGUUUAAGGUCACCGUUUAACUACAGCUAAACAGAGAGGACAGCUUUGCAGUGGAAAACUCUCCCUUUGGUAAAAAUCUGUAUUUCAUGAGGCCUGCUGGCUCGUUGCUGAGGAUUCAUGAGUAACACGCCACUGCAGCUGUUAAGGUAGAGAGCUACACCUGUUGGUAAAUACUGGUUAUACGAGAACAGUUUGUGUACACCCGACCCAUCUCUUCUGUAGAACCCUCAUAGAUUUCGUGCACCAUCUUUUCUUCGGGCAGCAGUACGGCAGGCCAAUGCAUAUUUAUAGACAUAAUGUGUGUUGUGAGGAGAGUCUGGGUGAUACAGCCGCAUGUAUGUUGCAGGUAUGCAAGUAAUAAAGGGUUUCAGCAGAGGAUUAAAAAGUACAGCUUGCACUGUUUUCAAAGAAAAUUGCUUCAGAAAGUCUUCAUUCCCUUUAAAACUCAAAGCGGACGGACUUUAGAGCCAGUCCUGAGGUCCAGACUCAAACCCUUCAACGUCACGUAGACGAGUGUUGGGUGGUAACAUGUCAGUUGUUCCAGCAGUGGUAGAUUUAGCGACAGGGGAUGUGGCUCUCCACCCAGGGUGGCAGGCUAACGGUGUGGUGUGUGUUUUUCCCCACAAAAAAUGGGGG